AUGAUAGCGGCUUAGGAACCAUCGCCGCUGCCACUGCGACCGCCGUUGUUGCUGCCUCUCCUCAACGACCUUUCAACUCAGCAGAGGUCACGGGAGUGACAGCGAAAAAAGGCGCCCGAAUGUCAGAGCGUCGUUGGGCUGAGGAGCGGUGCCAUCUGCUCACGGCCUGGCCAGUGUGAGAGUGUGGAGCGGUGUGCUGGUGACUUUAGCAGAAGCACUACUGUCAAAGACCUUGCUCCCACCAGAGUCAUGGCUCCAGUAACCUUGCAGUGGUGAGGAUGAUGAGCACAGUCCCCAGCUGGCGAUCCCAUCACCUGUCAGCCCCCAACCCCAACAUGCCUGCUCCACCCAACCCAGCCCACUUAGACAAACUGCUGCAGCAUCUGCUCGAACCUAGAUGCGUCUGCACAAACAUAGCACCACAAGACGCCGGGAGCUUCUGGGAUUCUCUGGGAAAUGAUGACAUUCAUUUCAGUGGUUCAGUCCAACCCAGUGGAUACUCCCCCGCUGGAGAACCAGUGUCCAGCUGGUCCGAAAGCCACAAGGCUAUCCAAGCCACAUGUUGCAUUCUGGACGGUGGGUUGCUGACGGACUGCUCUGAACACUUAUUGUUUCAUAAAACAGAUGUGAGGACCAGCACUGCUGUCACCUCCUUGAGAAGAAAACUGACGCUUGCCAACGCAUAACUGUCAACAUUGUCGUUCCCCCUCCCUCCCCCCUCUUCCCCUACACACACACACACACACACAUACUAAAAAAGAUGGAGAAUAAAGCAGAAACCUGAAGAUAGAGGGAGAGAGGAGGCCUGGCCAAGGACUUUUAUGAGAGAAGAGGAUAUAUUUAUGGCACCGUUACACUAAUGGAAACAGACUUAACAACGCAUGGCAGGAAAGAGCUCUUAACAAAUUAGGGUCGUGUUUCUUUUCUCCCCUUCAAAGAAAGAAAGGAAGAAAGAGAGAAAAAAGAAAGAAAGGAAGAAAAAAAAAAAGACUGUGGAAGUGCUAACCUGCAUGGCUGGUUUUAAACAUGACAAGUGCUCGUUGCUUUACAGUCCCAGUCCCUUUGCCAGGGAUUGCAUUACUGGAAUAACCGCUACGCAAAAGGUCCACCAUAACUUCAGGGUGAGGUAUCUGCAGUAUGAGCAUGGGGGGUUCGUAUAAACUAGUCUACAGCUGUAUGAAGACAUUGUCUACAGCGGAUCAGUAUAUCUUUUUGUUGUUGUCAUAAAAUCGUGAAAUUAUUUGUCUGAGAAUUAGGAGAAAUGUGAGAUUUUAUCUGGUUUUUUUUCUCUCAUGUUGGCACAAGAAUGUGUGUGUGGGUGUGUGACUGUGUGUGAGUGAGGCAGCAGAAAUCUGACAUUUUAACUUAAUAGCGGCUAAAGAAAAAAGAGAAAACGUAAUAGCAGCUCAUAAAAAAGUGCUGCAGUGUCAUCCACAAUUAGCCCUUCUGUGGACCUGUGCUGGCCAUGUUACUCCAGUAUCAGGCCAGCGCUAUGUGAUCCCUCCGUGAGAAUGGCUGUUGACAGGCACCUCUUAGACCCUUGGCGCGACCUUUUGGUGUAGUUGGCGCGAGCAGGGCAUUUAACAACAUGUCCUAGGUUUCAGCAUAAUUUUGAA